rnacentral:rRNA from 1 species
AGCGAACGCUGGCGGCAUGCUUAACACAUGCAAGUCGCACGGGCGGGGGCAACUCCGUCAGUGGCGGACGGGUGAGUAACGCGUAGGAAUCUAUCCUUGAAUGGGGGACAACCGUGGGAAACUACGGCUAAUACCGCAUGAUGCCUGAGGGCCAAAGACGAAAGUCGUUUGAGGAGGAGCCUGCGUCUGAUUAGGUAGUUGGUGGGGUAAAGGCCCACCCAAGCCUACGAUCAGUAGCUGGUCUGAGAGGAUGAUCAGCCACAUUGGGACUGAGACACGGCCCAAACUCCUACGGGAGGCAGCAGUGGGGAAUAUUGGACAAUGGGCGCAAGCCUGAUCCAGCAAUGCCGCGUGGGUGAAGAAGGUCUUCGGAUUGUAAAGCCCUUUUGGCGGGGACGAUGAUGACGGUACCCGCAGAAUAAGCUCCGGCUAACUUCGUG